rnacentral:tRNA from 1 species
GUCUCGUGAGGCUCAGUUGGUAGAGCAUGGUGCUUGCAACGCUAGGGUAGUGGGUUCGAUUCCCACAGGGGACC